rnacentral:rRNA from 1 species
UACGUAGGGUGCGAGCGUUGUCCGGAUUUAUUGGGCGUAAAGAGCUCGUAGGCGGUUUGUCGCGUCGGCCGUGAAAUCUCCACGCUUAACGUGGAGCGUGCGGUCGAUACGGGCAUCACUGGAGUUCGGCAGGGGAGACUGGAAUUCCUGGUGUAGCGGUGAAAUGCGCAGAUAUCAGGAGGAACACCGGUGGCGAAGGCGGGUCUCUGGGCCGAUACUGACGCUGAGGAGCGAAAGCGUGGGGAGCGAACAGG